CGGACGGGUGAGUAAUGUCUGGGAAACUGCCCGAUGGAGGGGGAUAACUACUGGAAACGGUAGCUAAUACCGCAUAACGUCGCAAGACCAAAGAGGGGGACCUUCGGGCCUCCUGCCAUCGGAUGUGCCCAGAUGGGAUUAGCUAGUAGGUGGGGUAAUGGCUCACCUAGGCGACGAUCCCUAGCUGGUCUGAGAGGAUGACCAGCCACACUGGAACUGAGACACGGUCCAG
rnacentral:rRNA from 1 species